rnacentral:rRNA from 1 species
UGGGGAAUUUUGGACAAUGGGCGAAAGCCUGAUCCAGCAAUGCCGCGUGUGUGAAGAAGGCCUUCGGGUUGUAAAGCACUUUUGUCCGGAAAGAAAUCCUCUGGGUUAAUACCUCGGGGGGAUGACGGUACCGGAAGAAUAAGCACCGGCUAACUACGUGCCAGCAGCCGCGGUAAUACGUAGGGUGCAAGCGUUAAUCGGAAUUACUGGGCGUAAAGCGUGCGCAGGCGGUUUGCUAAGACCGAUGUGAAAUCCCCGGGCUCAACCUGGGAACUGCAUUGGUGACUGGCAGGCUAGAGUAUGGCAGAGGGGGGUAGAAUUCCACGUGUAGCAGUGAAAUGCGUAGAGAUGUGGAGGAAUACCGAUGGCGAAGGCAGCCCCCUGGGCCAAUACUGACGCUCAUGCACGAAAGCGUGGGGAGCAAACAGGAUUAGAUACCCUGGUAGUCCACGCCCUAAACGAUGUCAACUAGUUGUUGGGGAUUCAUUUCCUUAGUAACGUAGCUAACGCGUGAAGUUGACCGCCUGGGGAGUACGGUCGCAAGAUUAAAACUUAAAGGAAUUGACGGGGUCAUAGCUGUUUCCU